rnacentral:rRNA from 1 species
UACAGAGGUCCCAAGCGUUGUUCGGAUUCACUGGGCGUAAAGGGUGCGCAGGUGGGUUUGCAAGUUCGAUGUGAAAGCCCCGGGCUUAACCCGGGAAUGGCAUUGGAAACUGCAGAUCUGGAGGAUCGGAGGGGGGACUGGAAUUCUCGGUGUAGAGGUGAAAUUCGUAGAUAUCGAGAGGAACACCGGCGGCGAAAGCGGCCUUCUGGAGAGUGACUGACGCUGAGAUGCGAAAGCAUGGGGAGCAAACAGG